UGGCGACAAAAUCGGAAGCAGGUCGCUGUGUAGAUGAAACGUUUUUUCUUGGCGUUUAUUAUUCACUUAAUACGGAAAAACACAUGUUCAUCAUUUGAAUCACAAACAGGUACAUGAAGGGGCGUAAUUUAAGGAGGAGACUCCUAGGCUAGGCGACGACACAGGAUCUGACACACUCACAUCAAAACACACAUACACAGAAUAAGUUAAGACACGAUAUAUUUUUGUUUCUCACUUCUGGACACCAGUUUUGACUCAACUAAAAUGUCUCUGGAAACAUUUGUUCUUGGAUCUUUACUACACAGCGUGGCAGCUGAAUCUGGCGAUGAUAACAAUGCAGGAGGCAUCUACCUUGCCACAAUAUUGGUGGUCCUUUUGGUAAUAGGAGUGAUCCUCUUCUUGGUCAGACGUUCUUCUUCAGAUUACAACUACAAAGGGGUGUCCAGUGCUAAAUAUGGGAUGAAGAAAAACCAGUCCGACUAGUGAUGUUCAGAUUUACGGUCACGGUUGUUGUGCAUUAAUUACAUUUGUGUUCAAAUAUAUUAGAGAAAACAUUA